GACGAACGCUGGCGGCGUGCUUAACACAUGCAAGUCGAACGAAGUGGCGAACGGGUGAGUAACGCGUAAUCAACCUGCCCUUCAUAGGGGGACAACAGUUGGAAACGACUGCUAAUACCGCAUACUGAAGUAGGGGAUUGCGUCUGAUUAGCUAGUUGGAGGGGUAACGGCCGACCAAGGCGAAGAUCAGUAGACGGUCUGAAAGGAUGAACGGGCACAUUGGGACGGAGACACGGCCCAGACUGCUACGGGAGGCAGCAGGGGGGAAUCUUCCGAAAUGGAAGAAAGUCUGACGGGGCAACGCCGCGUGAGUGAUGACGGCCUUCGGGUUGUAAAGAUCUGUUAAUCGGGACGCGGUACCGGAAGAGAAAGCCACGGCUAACUACGUGCCAGCAGACGCGGUAAUAC
rnacentral:rRNA from 1 species